AGUCAAGUAAUUAAGUGCAUGUGGUGGAUGCCUUGGCAGUCAGAGGCGAUGAAAGACGUGAUAGCCUGCGAAAAGCUCCGGGGAGGCGGCAAAUAUCCUUUGAUCCGGAGAUGUCUGAAUGGGGGAACCCACCUACUUUAAGGUAGGUAUUGCAACAUGAAUACAUAGUGUUGCAAGGCGAACGAGGGGAAGUGAAACAUCUCAGUACCCUUAGGAAAAGAAAUCAAUUGAGAUUCCCUCAGUAGCGGCGAGCGAACGGGGAUCAGCCCAUUAAGUUAUGUGUGUUUUAGUGGAACGCUCUGGGAAGUGCGAACGUAGAGGGUGAUAUUCCCGUACACGAAAGGGCACACAUAAUGAUGACGAGUAGGGCGAGGCACGUGAAACCUUGUCUGAAUAUGGGGGGACCAUCCUCCAAGGCUAAAUACUCCUGACUGACCGAUAGUGAACCAGUACCGUGAGGGAAAGGCGAAAAGAACCCCUGUGAGGGGAGUGAAAUAGAUCCUGAAACCGCAUGCAUACAAGCAGUGGGAGCACCUUCGUGGUGUGACUGCGUACCUUUUGUAUAAUGGGUCAGCGACUUAUAUUCAGUAGCGAGGUUAACCGUAUAGGGGAGCCGUAGAGAAAUCGAGUCUUAAUAGGGCGUCUAGUUGCUGGGUAUAGACCCGAAACCAGGCGAUCUAUCCAUGAGCAGGUUGAAGGUUGGGUAACACUAACUGGAGGACCGAACCCACUGUCGUUGAAAAGCCAGGGGAUGACUUGUGGAUAGGGGUGAAAGGCUAAUCAAGCCUGGUGAUAGCUGGUUCUCCCCGAAAGCUAUUUAGGUAGCGCCUCGGACGAAUACCAUAGGGGGUAGAGCACUGUUUCGGCUAGGGGGUCAUCCCGACUUACCAAACCGAUGCAAACUCCGAAUACCUAUGAGUACUAUCCGGGGAGACAGACUGCGGGUGCUAACGUCCGUAGUCAAGGGGAAAACAAUCCAGACCGCCAGCUAAGGCCCCAAAAUCAUAGUUAAGUGGGAAACGAUGUGGGAAGGCAUAGACAGCUAGGAGGUUGGCUUAGAAGCAGCCACCCUUUAAAGAAAGCGUAAUAGCUCACUAGUCGAGUCGGCCUGCGCGGAAGAUGUAACGGGGCUAAAACUAUGUGCCGAAGCUGCGGAUGUAUACUUUGUAUACGUGGUAGGGGAGCGUUCUGUAAGCCGAUGAAGGUGUGUUGAGAAGCAUGCUGGAGGUAUCAGAAGUGCGAAUGCUGACGUGAGUAACGACAAAACGGGUGAAAAACCCGUUCGCCGAAAGACCAAGGGUUCCAGUCCAACGUUAAUCGGGGCUGGGUGAGUCGACCCCUAAGGCGAGGCCGAAAGGCGUAGUCGAUGGGAAAAUGGUUAAUAUUCCAUUACUUCUGUGUAAUGCGAUGAGAGGACGGAGAAGGCUAAAUCAGCCUGGCGUUGGUUGUCCAGGUGAAAGGAUGUAGGCAUGUAUCUUAGGCAAAUCCGGGGUACUCUAUGCUGAGAUCUGAUAGCAAGCUGUACUUGUACAGCGAAGUGGUUGAUGCCAUGCUUCCAGGAAAAGUCUCUAAGCUUCAGUUACACAGGAAUCGUACCCGAAACCGACACAGGUGGUCAGGUCGAGUAGACCAAGGCGCUUGAGAGAACUCUGCUGAAGGAACUAGGCAAAAUGGUACCGUAACUCGGGAGAAGGUACGCUGUUGUUGGUGAUGGAACUCGCUUCCUGAGCUGACGACAGCCGCAGAAACCAGGCCGCUGCAACUGUUUAUUAAAAACAUAGCACUCUGCAAACACGAAAGUGGACGUAUAGGGUGUGAUGCCUGCCCGGUGCUGGAAGGUUAAUUGAUGGGGUUAGCGUAAGCGAAGCUCUUGAUCGAAGCCCCAGUAAACGGCGGCCGUAACUAUAACGGUCCUAAGGUAGCGAAAUUCCUUGUCGGGUAAGUUCCGACCUGCACGAAUGGCAUAAUGAUGGCGGCGCUGUCUCCAGCAGAGGCUCAGUGAAAUCGAAAUCGCUGUGAAGAUGCAGUGUACCCGCGGCUAGACGGAAAGACCCCGUGAACCUUUACUGCAGCUUGACACUGAACUUUGACCUUACUUGUGUAGGAUAGGUGGGAGGCUUUGAAGCUGGAACGCUAGUUCCAGUGGAGCCGUCCUUGAAAUACCACCCUGGUAAUGUUGAGGUUCUAACUCUGUCCCGUGAUCCGGGACGAGGACCGUGUCUGGUGGGUAGUUUGACUGGGGCGGUCUCCUCCUAAAGAGUAACGGAGGAGUACGAAGGUGCGCUCAGCGUGGUCGGAAAUCACGCGUAGAGUAUAAAGGCAAAAGCGCGCUUAACUGCGAGACCCACAAGUCGAGCAGGUACGAAAGUAGGUCUUAGUGAUCCGGUGGUUCUGUAUGGAAGGGCCAUCGCUCAACGGAUAAAAGGUACUCUGGGGAUAACAGGCUGAUACCGCCCAAGAGUUCAUAUCGACGGCGGUGUUUGGCACCUCGAUGUCGGCUCAUCUCAUCCUGGGGCUGAAGCAGGUCCCAAGGGUAUGGCUGUUCGCCAUUUAAAGAGGUACGCGAGCUGGGUUUAGAACGUCGUGAGACAGUUCGGUCCCUAUCUACCGUGGGCGCUGGAAAUUUGAGAGGAUCUGCUCCUAGUACGAGAGGACCAGAGUGGAUGAACCUCUGGUGUACCGGUUGUGACGCCAGUCGCAUCGCCGGGUAGCUAUGUUCGGAAGGGAUAACCGCUGAAAGCAUCUAAGCGGGAAGCCUACCUCAAGAUAAGAUUUCCCUAGGACUUUAUGUCCUCUAAAGAGCCGUUCGAGACUAGGACGUUGAUAGGUUGGAUGUGGAAGCAUAGUGAUAUGUGAAGCUGACCAAUACUAAUUGCUCGUGAGGCUUGACUAUACAACACCC
rnacentral:rRNA from 1 species